CAAACAUGGCCGCUGCCGCCUUCAUGUUCUACUCCGCCUCUAAGCACGCCGGGAUUUUCCGCAUAAAUGUCUCGCGAGAUUUGAAGAUUGAUUUGCUUUCGGGGAUUGGCUGGUGUUAAAAGAGCAAGUUCCGGGUUGGACUAGACUGGAGGGACACCAGGAAUAGAGAUGAGCUUCCCGGCUUCCACGGGCCCCGCUGACCCAGACCCACUCUACAUGGAAGCUGCUGGUCUUUCCACAGUUUUCUGCCAUUAAGAAGGGAGAGGGCAGUAUAAGAUUUAUGAAAGCCCGAUGCUGCAAAAAGCCUUAAUCAAAAAAUCCGCCAUCUCAGACCUGCCAAGAUCAUAUAUAAGUCAAUGGGAGAGGUCCCUAUCCUAUUUGGAAGUUUCUGUGGUCUGCUCUGGAAAUCUGACUGUUUUGGGCUCUUCGGGAAAAAGCCUGAAAAAAUUGAGCGAUUCGGGAAAAAAUGUGUACAGUUUGGGUUUUUGCUAGAUUUUACUGAGUUUUUUACCAAUCCAAUUAAAAAGUGCUUUUUGAUAAUAAAUAAUGUCAAAUUGUG